AUGGGUAAUUCAAGAAGCAAGGCGGUUGAUCAGCAACCAGAAGAGGACGUUACUACGGACCUUACAAGCUCUAUAAUAGUUGAAGAUAACAAUGCAAGCAUCAUACAUGUAUCUCAAAACAUUGGGGAAAAUUCAGCUACGGUUCCAGAUGGAUCAAUGUCGUUUUCGGAUGGAGAGCACAAUGAGGCUUGCUUCACAGCUCCGAGUAUACUGAAUUUGGAUUUUAGCACAAAUCAAGAUGAUGGAACAAGUCCGCUACGGAUUAAAGACCAUCAUGAUGGUUCGUUGUUGGGUUCCAAUAAUCUAACUCUCGAUUGUGGCACAAAUGUAGAUGGCCACAAUAGUAUUGGCGGUGAACCUCCAAACGAUGAUAUCGAUGGUGCGACAAAGCUAACAGACGACAUCAGAUCCAUAGAUCUAAGUCAUAUAACAAAUGAACACCUCAACACACAAAGGCGUGCAGCUUAUCAUAAGAAAAAAGUACAAGACAAUGUGUUGUUGCAGGAGGUUCAACAGCCCUGCUUGUCGAAAUCUGACCAGAGGGAACUUAACAAUGCGUGGAGGCGGGAAUCUUAUCGAAUUAGCAAGACAAAUGGUUUGAAAAAACAACAAGUCGAUGGCCACAUUGUUCAACGUCGUACCCUAGGUGAUAUCACGAAUGUUCGUCAACCUACACAUGUGAUCUCGGAGGACAACAAUGUCACCAAAGAGAAUGUGGCAAUAACCGAAGAAGAUCGCAAAAGAGAUCAUAGAAACGCCCUCAGGAGAGCAUCUUAUCGGAGGAAAAAAGAUCAGGGUCUCCAAGAAAAUAAUCUCCGCACCCUUAAUUUAACUGACAACCCAACUAGCUCCGCCUAUACAACAUUAUCGCAUACUGAUUCAGCAUUUACUGCUACAACUACGGAGACAUCUUGUCUGGUUAAUGACAAUGAUCUACAUGACGUUGACGAGAAUAUACUUGAAGAAACAAAUCAUAUAACCGAGGAAGAUCGCAAGAGAGAUCAUAGAAAUGCUCUUAGGAGAGCAUCUUAUCGGAGGAAAAAGGAUAAGAUAUUAGCAGAUGAAAAUCUACGGCCACUAUCUAAUUCAGAGUGGCUCCUGGUGCCGCCACGCCUUUGA
rnacentral:rRNA from 1 species